rnacentral:rRNA from 1 species
GAUGAACGCUGGCGGCGUGCCUAACACAUGCAAGUCGAGCGAAGCGCAUGAAUACGAUUCUUCGGAUGAAGAUUCAUGUGACUGAGCGGCGGACGGGUGAGUAACGCGUGGGCAACCUGCCUUACACAGGGGGAUAACAGUUAGAAAUGACUGCUAAUACCGCAUAAGACCACGAAGCCGCAUGGCUAAGUGGUAAAAACUCCGGUGGUGUAAGAUGGGCCCGCGUCUGAUUAGGUAGUUGGCGGGGUAACGGCCCACCAAGCCGACGAUCAGUAGCCGACCUGAGAGGGUGACCGGCCACAUUGGGACUGAGACACGGCCCAG